CGAAAGUGUGCCUAGGGUUCCGCGUGCUUUGGGCACGGACUGGUCCAAGUGGCACAGACGCACGCUGCGUUACACCGGAGGGAUAGAAGCCCAGGCGGG
rnacentral:sRNA from 2 species